CCCUUAGAUGUUCUGGGCUGCACGCGUGCUACACUGAUAUUGCCAAUAUGUCAUUCUUAUCCGAAAUGGAUUGGGUAAUCAAGUAAUGAAAUUUCAUGCUUGGAAUCGGUAAUUGCAAUUUUAUCGUGAACGAGGAAUUCCUAGUAAGCACUAGUCAUCAGCUAAUGUUGAUUAUGUCCCUGCCCUUUGUACACACCGCCCGUCGCUACUGCCAACUGAGAUGGGUCCUGAAUUGUUAGGAACGCCCGUCAAGGGGCCUACCCGGUCCCUAGUGCGGUGACGAGAAUAACUGUAAAUGGCAUAUCUUGUAGGGAGUAAAAGUCGUAACA
rnacentral:rRNA from 1 species